AAAGAGAAUAUUUAAUAGCUGUAGAUAGUAGGUGCUUCUUUUAAGCUUAAAUCUGCCUACCGAGGCUGGGGAUAGAUAAAAGGCUAAUUGGUUACUAAUAUAGUUAGUUUCUUAUCUUAUUGCAGAGUAUUUGAGGUCUCCGGUUAUCUACGGAGGCUUUUUUUAGUGCAAAA
rfam:Selenihalanaerobacter shriftii strain ATCC BAA-73 genome assembly, contig: EI55DRAFT_scaffold00033.33